rnacentral:snoRNA from 1 species
UCCUCAAACACCCUUCACUGAGAAGACGCUGAUUGGACUUUGUGUGAUAUGUCAUUAAUGUUUCUGUAUAACCAGAACUUGAAAUACCCUGGUUGUUCCCAUCCCAU